rnacentral:rRNA from 1 species
CACGGGGGGAGCAAGCGUUGUUCGGAAUCACUGGGCGUAAAGGGCGUGUAGGCGGUGCGGUAAGUGAGAUGUGAAAUGCCUCGGCUUACCCGAGGACCUGCAUCUCAAACUGCCGGGCUAGAGUAUGGGAGAGGAUGAGGGAAUUCCUGGUGUAGCGGUGAAAUGCGUAGAUAUCAGGAGGAACACCGGUGGCGAAAGCGCUCAUCUGGCCCAAUACUGACGCUGAGGCGCGAAAGCUAGGGGAGCAAACGGG